AGUCCAGGGAGCCUAACACAAGUCCACUUGGGCAAUACUAUGCCUCCCCCUUGCCAAUCUGCAACUAUGGACACCGACAAAAUCAUAAAUAGGUACUCUUCAGCGAAAAGAAGCAUCCAAUUUACAGAAGAUGGAGCCACCAACAAAGAGGGUCAACAACAUGAACAUCUUCAGGAUACACAAGUGCAUCUCCAGGUUGUCAAAAAGCAUAAGCAAGACAUUGCAGAUAACAAUGAGAAAAUGAACAACUAUGAAGGACAAGAGGAUAGCAGUAAUAAAAACACAUAGGGCACCUUCAACAACCAUGCAAGGACCAGGGAAUCUUCAAGACGCACGAAAAGCACCUACGGAUUGCACCACCUUCCAUUGAAAAUUACCUCCAAAACUAUCAUUACAACUACUUCAUGAUCAGCCUAAGCAUGUCAUCAGAUAUCGACUAAUUUUAUGUAAUAAGUCUGAAUUAUGAAAUCUUUGGA